rnacentral:rRNA from 1 species
GAGUAAUCCCGGGCAGGCGGCGGCUGGAAUGCGUGUGGGGCAAGCGUGGUCCGGGGUUAUUGGGCGUAAAGCGAGCGUAGGCGGUUCCUUAAGUCUGAUGUGAAAGCCCACGGCUCAACCGUGGAAGGUCAUUGGAAACUGGGGAAGUUGAGUGCAGAAGAGGAGAGUGGAAUUCCAUGUGUAGCGGUGAAAUGCGUAGAUAUAUGGAGGAACACCAGUGGCGAAGGCGACUCUCUGGUCUGUAACUGACGCUGAGGCUCGAAAGCGUGGGGAGCAAACAGGAUUAGAUACCCCGUAGUC